rnacentral:rRNA from 1 species
UACGGAGGGUGCAAGCGUUAUCCGGAUUCACUGGGUUUAAAGGGUGCGUAGGUGGGUUGGUAAGUCAGUGGUGAAAUCCCCGAGCUUAACUUGGGAACUGCCAUUGAUACUAUCAGUCUUGAAUACCGUGGAGGUCAGCGGAAUAUGUCAUGUAGCGGUGAAAUGCUUAGAUAUGACAUAGAACACCAAUUGCGAAGGCAGCUUACUACACAAAUAUUGACGCUGAGGCACGAAAGCGUGGGGAUCAAACAGG